rnacentral:lncRNA from 1 species
CAACUGAGGAAAAAUAUCUUCCCUCCUAUGAGUAACAGUAGAACAAUGGAAAAAGUUCUAAACUGGAAUCAGAAGACUGGGCUCCGUCUUCAGUUCUGCUUCCUCAAUGUAUCCACCUGCCCCACAGGCAGCUGGCCCUCCGUUGGCCCUCACUCUCUCUCACACACCCUGAGUCCCACUGCAAGGAGGUGGUCCCCAGGCCUGAGGGGAACAGCACU